AAUAACUGAGAUGACAUCAUAUUAAAAAGCUUUUGCUGGCCAGUCCUGGUGUCUGAGUGAUU
rnacentral:snoRNA from 1 species